rnacentral:rRNA from 1 species
CCUACGGGCGGCAGCAGUGGUGGAUAUUGCACAAUGGGCGAAACCCUGAUGCAGCGACGCCGCGUGGGCGAAGAAGUAUUUCGGGAUGUAAAGCCCUAUCAGCAGGGAAGAAGAAAUGACGGUACCUGAGUAAGAAGCACCGGCUAAAUACGUGCCAGCAGCCGCGGUAAUACGCAUGGUGCAAGCGUUAUCCGGAUUUACUGGGUGUAAAGGGAGCGCAGGCGGGACGGGAAGCCAGAUGUGAAAGUCCGCGGCCCAACCGCGGGACUGCAUUGGGUACUACCGGGCUGGAGUGCCGGUGAGGUAGGCGGAAUUCGUGGGGUAGCGGUGAAAUGCGUAGAUAUUAGGAAGAACACCGGUGGCGAAGGCAGCCUACUGGACGGUGACUGACGCUGAGGCUCGAAAGCGUGGGGAGCAAACAGGAUUAGAUACCCCUGUAGUC